rnacentral:rRNA from 1 species
AGUGAACGCUGGCGGUAGGCCUAACACAUGCAAGUCGAACGGCAGCACAGUAAGAGCUUGCUCUUACGGGUGGCGAGUGGCGGACGGGUGAGGAAUACAUCGGAAUCUACUUUUUCGUGGGGGAUAACGUAGGGAAACUUACGCUAAUACCGCAUACGACCUACGGGGGAAAGCAGGGGAUCUUCGGACCUUGCGGGAUUGAAUGAGCCGAUGUCGGAUUAGCUAGUUGGCGGGGUAAAGGCCCACCAAGGCGACGGUCCGUAGCUGGUCUGAGAGGAUGGUCAGCCACACUGGAACUGAGACACGGUCCAGACUCCUACGGGAGGCAGCAGUGGGGAAUAUUGGACCAUGGGCGCAAGCCUGAUCCAGCCAUACCGCGUGGGUGAAGAAGGCCUUCGGGUUGUAAAGCCCUUUUGUUGGGAAAGAAAAGCAGCAGGUUAAUACCCCGCUGUUCUGACGGUACCCAAAGAAUAAGCACCGGCUAACUUCGUG